UACAGAGGAGCCAAGCGUUGUCCGGAUUGACUGGGCGUAAAGCGCACGCAGGCGGACGCGCGCGUGGGGUGUGAAAUCUGGCCGCUUAACGGCCAGGCGCCAUCCCAUACGGCGCGUCUGGAGUGAUGCAGAGGUCGAUGGAAUUGCCGGCGUAGUGGUGAAAUGCGUAGAGAUCGGCAGGAACACCCAGGGGGAAACCAGUCGACUGGGCAUCUACUGACGCUGAGGUGCGAGAGCGUGGGGAGCGAACCGG
rnacentral:rRNA from 1 species